CGGCCAAUCGGAUCCUAGGGUUCUGUCGGGCCGCUCUAUGCGACCCAGAGGACUGUAGGCUACUGGCCCACCGGCCUCGCGAUAACAUCAGAGGUGCGUCAGAGAGACAGGAAGUGACGUAGGUCGGAAGCGCGGGUCCACCUGAAGAAGCGGAAAGGAUCGGAAAGGGAAACAAGGAAUAUUACCUUGAGUUUCCAUCCAGAAGACUGUAUUAUCUCCUGCUUUACAUAGAAGAAUUCAAGAAUGUUACCAGGCUA